rnacentral:rRNA from 1 species
UACGUAGGGUGCAAGCGUUGUCCGGAAUUACUGGGCGUAAAGCGCGCGUAGGCGGCUUUGCAAGGCGGGUGUGAAAGCCCCAGGCUUAACCUGGGAACUGCAUUCGAGACUGCAUUGCUAGAGUAUGGGAGAGGGAAGUGGAAUUUCCGGUGUAGCGGUGAAAUGCGUAGAUAUCGGAAGGAACAUCAGUGGCGAAAGCGACUUCCUGGACCAAUACUGACGCUCAUGUGCGAAAGCGUGGGGAGCAAACAGG